CUGGCUCAAAAAUUGGUCAAAUCUGCUUUGUGUGAAGUGAAGAAAGGGGGUCCAGAAGAGCAGUGUCACAAGCUGUUGGGCUCCAGGGCUGGAGGAGCAAGAGCAUCCAGGCCAAUGCCAAAUUCAUGGGGAAGGCAGAAUACUUAGUAAAGAAGAAGAGUUUAGGAGGUGGCUGUUUGUAGUUGUGGAGGGGCAGGAGGAGAUCUCAGGAGGCUCCAAUCAAUACUCAGGGGCCAUCUACCUGCCAGGACUGGAUUGCUGCUCCAUGGCCCAGGAGUGGACUCUGUUUCUAGAAAGAUUAUG
ensembl:lncRNA